rnacentral:rRNA from 1 species
CACGUAGGGUGCAAGCGUUGUCCGGAUUCAUUGGGCGUAAAGGGCUAGUAGGCGGCUUAGCAAGUCGGGUGGGAAAACUUCAGGCUCAACCUGGAGCGGCCAUCCGAUACUGCUAUGGCUAGAGUCCGGUAGGGGACCACGGAAUUCCUGGUGUAGCGGUGAAAUGCGCAGAUAUCGGGAGGAACACCAGUGGCGAAGGCGGUUGCCUGGGGCUUUGCUGACGCUGAUGCGCGAAAGCGUGGGGAGCGAUCCGG